CGACGGAAUGAGCGGCGGACGGGUGAGUAACACGUAAAGAACCUGCCCUCAGGUCUGGGAUAACCACGAGAAAUCGGGGCUAAUACCGGAUAGGUCAUCGAACCGCAUGGUUCGAGGAUGAAAGGCGCUUCGGCGUCGCCUGGGGAUGGCUUUGCGGUGCACUAGCUAGUUGGUGGGGUAAUGGCCCACCAAGGCGACGAUGCAUAGCCGACCUGAGAGGGUGAUCGGCCACACUGGGACUGAGACACGGCCCAGACUCCUACGGGAGGCAGCAGUAGGGAAUCUUCCACAAUGGACGAAAGUCUGAUGGAGCAACGCCGCGUGAACGAUGAAGGCCUUCGGGUCGUAAAGUUCUGUUGUAAGGGAAGAACAAGUGCCGCAGGCAAUGGCGGCACCUUGACGGUACCUUGCGAGAAAGCCACGGCUAACUACGUGCCAGCAGCCGCGGUAAUACGUAGGUGGCAAGCGUUGUCCGGAAUUAUUGGGCGUAAAGCGCGCGCAGGCGGCCUUUUAAGUCUGAUGUGAAAGCCCCCGGCU
rnacentral:rRNA from 1 species